UUAGCAUGGACAUGUACUAAAAAGAAGAGCUCCUCAGUAUGCUGCUUUGGACAUGGAUGGAUUAAAGUUCACCCUAGUGAGAAGAGACAAGGAAAUGUGAAGCUGAAAUGCCUCUGCAAACAAGGCUGUUGAGAGGAUCUGCUGCUGCGGAGCAGAAGCAGCAGCUUGGGGGAGAGAUGAAGUCUGAGAUUUGCAUGAUGGGGUUCACUGCACACUGACAGGCCCAAAUCUGCAUGAGAAUGUCGCCUUGGUAGCUUGCUGCAGCCCGUCACUGCAGCACAGCCGUAGCAUCAGUUCGGCUCUGCAACCAGGGUAUUGUUUGGUGUUGGAAAAUCCCUCCCUCCCGCUGAGAAGUGGCUCCAUGGCAGCCCGUGAAUAUUACUCCACCAGCCAAGCUCAGUCUGCAAAUGACGUUGUGAGUCACUGCACUCCCCGCAAGUCUGCAGUCCCCAGAAUGUGCAUCUGUCUGCCCGUGGCAACUGCUUGGGGCUGGUGUGAUGCUUGGCAAGUUCAGCUGACUCCGAGUGGCCUCGUACCUGAAUUAUCUCCUGUCAAGCAUCAAGUCAAGUAUGAGUGAAACUGCAAAUGGGAGUCUAUUAAAGUUUCACGUUUCUCCACUGGAAUGCCAUAGAUUAGAGAAGUUUUCAGAAGACACUGAUUGCUGAAUAUGGAGCUCUGUAAUGCAUUAUCUUUUCCUCUGUGAUAAUAAAACUUUGUCUUUAGUCAAGCAAAUGUUCAUUUCUUGCAAUGAAGUCGGAAGCAUUGCAACUGCAGCCUGUUGAACUAUUGGCAGAGUUGAGUGUGAAGAAAGAGACAGAUAACUUUCACAGAUUGACCGUUUGCAAGAUAAAACUGCAGUAUUUUAUAGACUUGUCAUGUGACAGAUUUAAUAUGAAUAAAAGCGAGAGUAUUAUUUCACUAUUUUAUUACAGUUCUCGGGUUAAUUACACUCUAAGAUUCUGAUUUGUGGCUCAGAUAUAUCCCUUUAUUUUGGCCUACAAAUGAGGGCUGUGUUUCUGUGAGGUUACCUUCUUUUUUAAGCGGGAAAGCAUAUGGACCAUAUACAGGCUAGAUGAACUGCAAGAAAGGCCUUUAUGAGUUGUGACAUCCCAUAACAUCAUUUAUGUUUUGUGUGUUUUUUAACAGAGACAUCUAGGAUUUGAGAUGCUAUGGUAAGUUAACCAAAACGAACAUAUUUUUGGAAUUCUCUGGUACUGUGUGAAGGGUUAGAAAGACAAUGAGGAGCAAUUCCUUGGCCACAGUCAGGUGAUGAGAUUAUGAAGAGGAAAGGGAGAAACUCUUUCUUUUUAAAGGUUUGGAUUCUUUCAGAAUUGCCUUUUUAGAACAUAUAGGAACCUGUACUGCUAGAAUACAUCAUGUAUAUGUAUUUUUUUGUGUUUGUACACUGUUUAGGAUGUUUCUUUUUAUGGUACAUGUGUAUAUAUGUAACAUGAAUAUAUAAUGCACGCUAUUAUGGUCCAUGUACCUAUGCAUGCAAAAGUGCAGUUGUUUGCUUUGUGAUUUUCUUGAUGAGUUAAAGGAGACUUAAAAAAAAAAAAACAAAAAGAAAGAAAGAAAGAAAGAAAGCUGGACAGAGACAGUAAUGAUUCAUUUUACUUUAUUUUGAAUUUCCUUUAUUUGAUUUUUUAAAGGGUGACAAAUGCCCAGAUAUCAAAUGUCCUCAAAUAAAACUAUGUGGGGAAUUUCCUAUCAGUCAUGAAUUACUUGCAGAAAUAAUAGUCUUUCAUUUUGAAAAGUAAUAAAAUGCAUCACUUCACUGCAAGGUGAAGACUGAACAGGACAUAAAGGUGAUAUUGACACCAAAAGCACUUUGUCCUCUCCAACCUUUCAGCAGAAAAAACUGUACGACCCCUUUGUACUAGGUGCUUUCUCUUCUACAUUUGCAUUCAGAAUUUGGAUCAGAGAAUUGAUUUUGCUAAUCUCCAGGCACAUUUCUUAAAAAAAAUGAAAUGCCUAACAAUUUGCAUGGGAAAGAUGUUUUAAAAGAAUGUACAAAUUGAUGAAUAUUUAGAAAAUCAUUGCUUUAUAAUGUCCUGGAUGCCAUGCAGUUAUUUUUAAUAUAAAUGUUUUAAAUUAAACAGCUCUCUAUUAAAUUUCAGAUAAGCCUGUGCCAGAGCCCUUAACUUGGAUAUCCUUCACAUUCAAAACUCUGGGAAGUCAAAUUUUAGUUUUCAUAUCCAAGUGUGGCUUGACAGUUUGGGAAUAUGCCUGUGCAUAACUUUUGAUUUCUGUUUGGUAUUGGAGAUGUUCCAUGAGUCUCUGGCUUAAGACUGCAAAGUGCUUUUUGUUUGUGGGACAGAUGUCCCUCUCUAUUAUCUUUUUACCUCCUCUUUUGGAAUGUUCUCCCUAUUGUAAUUUCAAAGGAGGGUGAUGCAGGAUGACAUCAGAGGGCUGUUAAAUCUUGAUGAUAGUCUUUUCAGGUGGAAGCCCUUCUGGACAAAAUGUUGACUUCUGUUCAGGACAAAGCAGAUUGUCAAGUCAUAACUCCAGGGAGUUGGUAACUAAGCAACAGAUCAACUGUUGGAAAACUCUGAUCUCCUAAUUAUGCUCAUUUGGGAACCUUCUGACAGGGAAUUCUCUGAGGGUUAGUGAGUCCA